rnacentral:rRNA from 1 species
AUAAGAAAGUUUGGUUCUAGCUUUUGGUUAAUACUAUCAUUACGAGACACAUUGGUACUAUAGGGGUAUUGGGAGUAGCACAGGCCUAAAAUUAAAGUUUAAAUAACAAUAAGAAGUAAGGGCUGAUGAAGUUUACUAUUAGUAAUAAUCUAGGAUGGUUGAUAAAUUUUCCCGACACCAGUGGAGAAUAUUGGAUAAAAUCAGAAAUGAUGGUUCAGGUUAGAUAGAGCGAGAAGGGAAAUUUAGUGCCAGCACCUGCGGUUAAACUAAUUCUUGCAUUAAUCUUUUCGUAGGGGAGUAAAAGUUUAAUAUUAAAGUAAUAAAAAGGUGUACAAAUGGUUAAAUAUAUUUCACAAAAAGUGUUAAGUGCUUUAUAAACUUAGAUCUUAAAAGUCUAUUGAGAAGACCGGGAUUAGAGACCCCGUUAUAAAUGAUGUUUCUAGUUUCUGCGGUAAGUACGAGCAAAAAUCAGGCUUAAAAACCAAAGAACUUGGCGGUGCGCUAUAUUAGUUCAGGGGAACUUGACGGUUAAAUCGAUAAUCCUCGUUAUACCUUACCUUUUUUUGUCUUGCUAUACCGCCGUUGCCAGUUGAAUUUUUAAUGGGAUAGAGUUUUGCGGAGAAAGUGCUGAACAUCUGUUCAGUACUUAGAAAUUCAGGUAAACGUAGUGGAAAUAUAAAAAGGGCUUAGUUGAGUUACAUUGUCCUAUUGAGGAUAUAAAAUGAAAUAUUUUAUGGAAUUUGGACCUGACAGUAAAUCCUAUGUAAUAGAGGGGGGUUGAAUAGUACAAUGGUGCGUGUACAAAUUGCCCGGUGCCCCCAGAUAUAAAAGCUGGGGUAAGCCGUAACAUGGUAAUGCUACUAGAAAGUGGUGUUAAUUAAAU